GAUGAACGCUGGCGGCGUGCAUAAUACAUGCAAGUCGAACGGACGGACGAGAAGCUUGCUUCUCUGAUGUUAGCGGCGGACGGGAGAGUAACACGUGGAUACCCUACCUAUAAGACUGGGAUAACUUCGGGAAACCGUAGCUAAUACCGGAUAAUAUUUUGAACCGCAUGGUUCGAAGGUGAAAGACGGUCUUGCUGUCACUUAUAGAUGGAUCCGCGCUGCAUUAGCUAGUUGGUAAGGUAACGGCUUACCAAGGCAACGAUGCAUAGACGACCUGUGAGGGUGAUCGGCCACACGGGAGCUGAGACACGGUCCUGACUCCUACGGUAGGCAGCAGUAGGGAAUCUUCCGCAAUGGGCGAAAGCCUGACGGAGCAACGCCGCGUGAGUUAUGAAGGUCUUCGGAUCGUAAAACUCUGUUACUAGGGAAGAACAUAUGUGUCAGUAACUGUGCACAGCUUGACGGUAAUUAAUCAGAAAGCCACGGCUAACUACGUG
rnacentral:rRNA from 1 species